UCUGGCGUCUGCAAGUUAAACUCCUAAAAAACACCUUUGCUCAUGUACAAACAAGUGCGCGCACAAACGCGGAAGAUUUCAUUUUCCACUUAAGUCGAGGCUGGGGAGUGCGAUAUACAGUAAACUGUCUGCAAUAAUAUGAUAACAUUGUCAAAGUUCCUGAGAAUCGUAACCUUCCUAGCAUCUAAAAUAGUUUGCCACAGAAAGGGUGCUGAAAGUCACAGCUACCCCACCCUGAAAACCACAGUUUCAAGAUGCAAAGGUUUGUGCUUGCUCGAAACAGUGUUACAAACACAAAUGUGAGAACUGCGCUCAGUAGCAGGUUGCAUUUAGUGGAACAAGAGCGCAUUUAUUAUCUAGCUAAGGGUCUGUGACACCUUUAAACAUUGUUUUGGUCCUUUUGCAGAACUUGUUAACAGUGCAUUUGAUUCUAUCAUUAUUUCUCAGACUAUAUAGGGUAAAAAUGCUUUAGUCACAGAAUAAACUCAGUGAUUAUUUUGCUGCGUCACUGUCAAUUAUUUUUAAUACUUUAAUCUGGUCAGUCACUGGUUGAUAUUUUUAGGUUUAUAUUUUCAAAAAUAGCUGUGCUAGCUUAAUUUCUCAAAUCAAUGGUCUCAUUCUUCUCACUAAAUAAAAUAAUGCAAAUUCAGAAUCCACAUCAUGUCCAUUUAUUAAUUUAUUUCGUAAGUAGCUGCAUAUAUGUAGAAUAAUAUACAAUUAGUUGGUCAAUAUCAAAAAAAAAAACAGUUCUUGAUCAUUUAGCACCCUACAUUGUCAAAAAUAAAGGUACAAAAGCUGUCACUGGAGCAGUUCCUUUUCAAAAGGUACACUUUUGUUCCUAUUAGGUUCUAAUAUGUACACUUUAAGUACUAAUAUGUGCCUUUAAGGUACCAAAAUGGACUCUUUAGGUAUAAACAUGUACCUUUUGAAAAGGUACCGCCCCAUUGAAAGCUUUUAUUUCUGAGAGUGUAUAAGCAUAAAGUUUUCUAAUAAUAACAGAAGCAAUGUGCAAAUCUAAACACUUGCUAUGGCCAAAAACUGGAGUAGCUUUUGCAAAAUGUACGUUUGUAUUUGCAAACGAAAUGAAGAUGAACUGGAUGUUUAGAUCAAACCAUAUGUGUUAGAUCAUGGACAGUAUGGCUUUUCAGUUCUGCAGCGUGAACUGGAAGUGAAGAGUUAUAUGCUCACAGAAGCUAACUUUCACAUAUGUGACAGAUUUCACAUCUUCUCUGCAAAGUUCACCUGUGCAUUGUGUUUCCACCUGGAGCUCACUGAUUACUGCCAACAACGAUUUGUAUACAAAUGAUUAGUUGGUACAAUUAUUUCCCAGCAUAUGAGACUUUGGUCUUUGGCAACUAACUGCUGGUAGAUGCCUGCACAUCUCGCUUCAUAACACCCGAGAUGAAAAGAACAAAUAUCUCAUUGUUUUUGAUUUAUUUAUAAUGAGGCACCAACUGAGAAAAAAA
rnacentral:lncRNA from 1 species